AGAGUUUGAUCCUGGCUCAGGAUGAACGCUGGCUACAGGCUUAACACAUGCAAGUCGAGGGGCAGCAUUCCGGUUGCUUGCAACCGGUGAUGGCGACCGGCGCACGGGUGAGUAACGCGUAUCCAACCUUCCCGCGACCAAGGGAUAACCUGCCGAAAGGCAGACUAAUACCUUAUGUCCUCCUUUGAAGGCAUCUGACGAGGAGCAAAGAUCCGUCGGUCACGGAUGGGGAUGCGUCCGAUUAGCUUGUUGGCGGGGCAACGGCCCACCAAGGCUUCGAUCGGUAGGGGUUCUGAGAGGAAGGCCCCCCACACUGGAACUGAGACACGGUCCAGACUCCUACGGGAGGCAGCAGUGAGGAAUAUUGGUCAAUGGGCGGAAGCCUGAACCAGCCAAGUAGCGUGCAGGAUGACGGCCCUACGGGUUGUAAACUGCUUUUAUGCGGGGAUAAAGUUGCCCACGCGUGGGUUUUUGCAGGUACCGCAUGAAUAAGGACCGGCUAAUUCCGUGCCAGCAGCCGCGGUAAUACGGAAGGUCCGGGCGUUAUCCGGAUUUAUUGGGUUUAAAGGGAGCGCAGGCCGCCGUGCAAGCGUGCCGUGAAAAGCAGCGGCCCAACCGCUGCCCUGCGGCGCGAACUGCCUGGCUUGAGUGCGCCGGAAGCGGGCGGAAUUCGUGGUGUAGCGGUGAAAUGCUUAGAUAUCACGAAGAACCCCGAUUGCGAAGGCAGCCCGCUGUGGCGCCACUGACGCUGAGGCUCGAAGGUGCGGGUAUCGAACAGGAUUAGAUACCCUGGUAGUCCGCACGGUAAACGAUGGAUACCCGCUGUCCGGCCCGUAUGGUCUGGGCGGCCAAGCGAAAGCGUUAAGUAUCCCACCUGGGGAGUACGCCGGCAACGGUGAAACUCAAAGGAAUUGACGGGGGCCCG
rnacentral:rRNA from 1 species